AGAGUUUGAUCAUGGCUCAGAUGAACGCUGGCGGCGUGCCUAAUACAUGCAAGUCGAGCGAACUGAUUAGAAGCUUGCUUCUAUGACGUUAGCGGCGGACGGGUGAGUAACACGUGGGCAACCUGCCUGUAAGACUGGGAUAACUUCGGGAAACCGAAGCUAAUACCGGAUAGGAUCUUCUCCUUCAUGGGAGAUGAUUGAAAGAUGGUUUCGGCUAUCACUUACAGAUGGGCCCGCGGUGCAUUAGCUAGUUGGUGAGGUAACGGCUCACCAAGGCAACGAUGCAUAGCCGACCUGAGAGGGUGAUCGGCCACACUGGGACUGAGACACGGCCCAGACUCCUACGGGAGGCAGCAGUAGGGAAUCUUCCGCAAUGGACGAAAGUCUGACGGAGCAACGCCGCGUGAGUGAUGAAGGCUUUCGGGUCGUAAAACUCUGUUGUUAGGGAAGAACAAGUACGAGAGUAACUGCUCGUACCUUGACGGUACCUAACCAGAAAGCCACGGCUAACUACGUGCCAGCAGCCGCGGUAAUAC
rnacentral:rRNA from 2 species